AUAUACUUAAUUAUUUUGAAUAUAAUUGCUACAUUUGCAAUUAUCUCUUUAUUUUUCUAGGGGGAAGGCCCACUACAAUAGCUUGCUAUUGGGGCCUUCGAGCGUCGCCUUAGCGUUGCACUACUGCUUGGGCCUGGCGCACCCCUC
rnacentral:snRNA from 1 species